rnacentral:snoRNA from 1 species
UGGACAUUUAUUUUUAUUCCGUUUCUUCUCAAGGUGAAGACAACUCUUUAUAAAUGUCCUAGAGAAAUAUAGUAGCUUUCUGGUCACCCCUUUGCAAGUAAAAUGGGUGGAUCGUUCCACUACUGACACAC